GAUUAUCAUGGCUCAGGCUUUCUUUGUACUGAUUUGUCCAUUCAUGUGCAAGAGAGAGAGGGGAAAAAGAGGUGCAUACUUCAUUUGGAUCAGAAUAUGAGCAUUUAGGAGGACUCACCUUGGUUUAUCACCCUAUGCUAAGCAUGGCAUGAAGAAGACAGAAAAGACCAAACAGGCAUUGAACCACUACUUAAAGUUACCUGAGAAAAAGCUA